ACAAGGUGAGCGAGACUUGACAUGACCCACCGUGUAAAACACACUGGCUAAAAAAAAAAUCCCUCUGAAAUACGUGUGUUCCCGCCUGUCAGCAGUGAUGGUUAUGGAAAAUAAAAAUGCACAUAUUCAGGCGCUGUGCUUUGGGGAGCUCUUACCGCUUCCAUCCGUGGAGCAAUUUCAGCAUCGAGGAGAGAACAAAAAAGUUCCACCUCAGUAUCAUCUCUCCAGCUGUUCCUGGGCCAUCCCCUCUUCCUUUUCCCCUGCGGGUUCCAGGUCAGAGUCUGACAGCAGAUGCUGGAUGCUGGUUUCCUCAGUGUGUUUCCAAUAUAGCCCCAUUUCCUACUUGGGAUCUGCACGUCAACUUUCUCUUGUCCAGCCCUUUGCCACAGCUCAUCGUUACAGAUUCUGUCACGCCACCUGAUGUUUAAUAUGCACCCCAGACAGGUGUUAAUAAAGGUCUGAAUUUUCUCUUGCA